rnacentral:rRNA from 1 species
UACAGAGGAUCCGAGCGUUAUCCGGAUUUAUUGGGUUUAAAGGGUGCGUAGGCGGGCUGUUAAGUCAGCGGUCAAAUGUCGGGGCUCAACCCCGUACUGCCGUUGAAACUGCAUCCCUUGAGUGCGCGAGAAGUAUGCGGAAUGCGUGGUGUAGCGGUGAAAUGCAUAGAUAUCACGCAGAACGCCGAUUGCGAAGGCAGCUUACCGGCGCUCAACUGACGCUGAGGCACGAAAGUGCGGGUAUCGAACAGG